rnacentral:rRNA from 1 species
UACGUAGGGGGCAAGCGUUGUCCGGAUUUAUUGGGCGUAAAGAGCGUGUAGGCGGCCAGGUAGGUCAGCUGUGAAAACUCGAGGCUCAACCUCGAGACGUCGGUUGAAACCACCUGGCUAGAGUCCGGAAGAGGAGAGUGGAAUUCCUGGUGUAGCGGUGAAAUGCGCAGAUAUCAGGAAGAACACCCGUGGCGAAGGCGGCUCUCUGGGACGGUACUGACGCUGAGGUGCGAAAGCGUGGGGAGCGAACAGG